UAAUACCGGAUAGAUCAAAGACACUGGAAUGUUCUCUGGUCCAAAACUCCGGUGCCCAAGGAUGGGUCUGCGGCCUAUCAGGUUGUAAUGGGUGUAACGUACCUACUAGCCGAGGGACGGGUAAGGGAUGUGAGAGCAAGAGCCCUGAGAUGGUUUCUGAGACCUGAAUCCUGGCCAAACGGGGUGCAGCAGGCGCCAAACCUUUACACUGCGGUAAACCGCGAUAAGGGGACCCCGAGUGCCAGCAUCUAGUGCGGUCUGUUCAGCUUCCAAAUAACAGUUGUUAGCAAGGGCCGGGCAAGACCGGUUCCAGCCGCCGGGGUAACACCGGAGGCCCGAAUGGUAGCCGCUAUUAUUCCGUUUAAAGGGCCCGUAGCAGGCCUAUUAAGUCUCUUGGGAAAUCUGGCGGCUUAAUCGUCAGGCGUUC
rnacentral:rRNA from 1 species